rnacentral:rRNA from 1 species
GUGAGGCGGAGCUAAUCCCUUAAAGCCAUUCUCAGUUCGGAUUGUAGGCUGAAACUCGCCUACAUGAAGCUGGAGUUACUAGUAAUCGCAGAUCAGAAUGCUGCGGUGAAUGCGUUCCCGGGUCUUGUACACACCGCCCGUCACACCACGGAAGUUGGGGGCGCCCGAAGCCACUUAGCUAACCCUUUUGGGAAGCGAGUGUCGAAGGUGAAAUCAAUAACUGGGGUGAAGUCGUAACAAGGUACC